rnacentral:miRNA from 1 species
AGUGUGUGUGAGCGUGUGCGUGUGCAUGCGCAUGCGCACACACACACACACACACACACACACACA